UUACGUUACGUUAUUCAAUGAGAUUAA
rnacentral:sRNA from 1 species